UUUUUUUUUUUUUUUUUUUUUUGGGGAGGUGGGUGGGGGGUUGGGAAGUUGGGGGGGACGCCUAAAUGAGAAAAAUGCUGAUCAAUAGCUUCAUCCAAUACAUGUUACCAGAUGCUAGAUUCAUAAAGGGUCUAAAAUCCUUAUUUUUGAAUUUCACAAAAAUUGUUUCUUGCUGCCAUUCCAUUCCCAAAUGGAGUAAGAAGGUUUAUCAUUAUACAUAUGGUUACCAGAUUUCCUCAUUAGGCAUCUGAUAUUGACUCACAUACAGAAUAGAUCAAUUAGAAAAUCCUCUUAUAAUCCUUCCAUCUAAUGAAAGCUCCAAAAUCCCAAAAUAUAGAGGGGGCAAAGAGGAGAA
rnacentral:misc_RNA from 1 species